rnacentral:misc_RNA from 1 species
CACCAAAUAAAAGUCGCAUAAAACAAAUUCUUAGUCACAAGAACAAUACUAGAAAUCUUGAAACACCCUUGUCCUAACCGAUCUUGGCCUUGAAAUACUGACUGAGAUUUAUCACUUCUUUUUCUCAGACACUCCAGCGGACCUCAUCUUUCUGAGAACAUUGGCCAUUUCCUCUCUCUUCUUCUUCGCCCUUUUGUGUGUACCCAAUUUUCUCUUUGCCACUUUCAGAGCACGUUUGUCCUUUCCAACCUUCAAAAGCUCAGUUAUCCUCUUCUCGUAAGGAGCAAACCCAGCAACCUCCCUGAUGAGGUUCUUCACAAAAUGUACUCGUUUGCUAGUUUUCCCUUUCCGGCUUGAAGGGCGAGGAGCCAGCUCCCUCUUGGUGACGACGUGCCCCUUGUUUAUCCCCACAAAGAUACCACUUUUCGGCUGCGGCGGCGCCAUCGCUGCCCUGAUUGACUUUGUUUCAGACUCG